CGGAACAGUUUUUUUUAAGAUAUACUUUGGAGCCUGCCUUCAAAAAGGGACCUAGUCACAAUGCUGGGAAAAUUGGAAACUUCCUUCCAGCACAAGUUGGAAAGCCUCUGCGCCGACAUCGGGCAGGUAGGCCUCAGGGUCCAAGAUUUGGAGGAUGAUAGGGGUUCCAUGAAGGUCCAAAUUCAGACCCUGGCUUCCAGAAUUGAGUCCCAUGAAACAUACCUGUCCCAACUACAGCGGUCCCUGGAUAAUGUUAAUAACAGGGGCAGGAAGAAUAAC